rnacentral:rRNA from 1 species
UACGGGGGGGGCAAGCGUUGUUCGGAAUUACUGGCGUAAAGGGCUCGUAGGUGGCCAACUAAGUCAGACGUGAAAUCCCUCGGCUUAACCGGGGAACUGCGUCUGAUACUGGAUGGCUUGAGAUUGGGAGAGGGAUGCGGAAUUCCAGGUGUAGCGGUGAAAUGCGUAGAUAUCUGGAGGAACACCGGUGGCGAAGGCGGCAUCCUGGACCAACACUGACACUGAGGAGCGAAAAGCCAGGGGAGCAAACGGGG